ACUGAUUUUUCCAUAGGGAGGAUACGUGACAUAUCUUAUUAGAAUUUAGAACUCUAUUUUUUCUUCCUUCUGUUACUGUCCCCAACAUGGUUACAUUUGGCUCUGUUCUCCCGUGCUGUUAUUUUAUAGAAGCACACUUCCGUGUGGGGAGGUCUGUGGUGUCUGAUGUUCUCUGUGUCUCAGUGGACAAAUCUGCGGAAUUCUCACAUUAAUUAUUAGGAAGCUUACUUGCCGGUGGAUAAAAACCCUGCCAUCUUCGAUCAGCUUUAUUGGGAGAUAUGAGACAUCAAUCAACAUAUGUAAGAUGUACAUUGGUUCCGUCCAGAAAGGUGGGACAACUCAAGCAGGGAGGGGACUUCCAGGUCACAGGAUGUUGAUAUAAGGUCUCAUUGCCUUCCUCAGCAAUCUUCUGAAUCUGGCAUUCCUUCUGAGAAGACUAACAAGCAUUCAUCCAAAAUGUUCGUCAUUGGAAAGUUAGCUGUAAUUUGAUCUAACUUCUCACUCAAUAUGAUAGUUUUUUUUUGGUAUACAAGAGACCUGAUGGAAUCUUUCUUAGGUAAGCCAAAUCUGUCUCUCUGAAUCGUUCACCAGUUGGUUCUUGUUCUCUUAAAGAGUAAGUCAGCUUACUCUAUGACUGUUUUUCAGUGCUAUUAAGCGAAACUUGGGUUUUAGUCCUAGUUCCUCAUCUGUGACCUUCGCAAGUCACUUAUCCUUCUGACUCUAUAUUUUCAUUGGCAAAAUGACAAGGCCUGCUUUGCUCAUUCCAUAAGGCUGUCAAAAGAGGGGGAAACACAGGAUCCAUUAAUUAAAUACGUACUAUUCAAUGCUUUUCAGGUAGUGUGAUGGUAACUUUAUAUACACUGAGUUAUUAGUAUUUCCAAUCCUAUGAGGCUGGUGGUGUGAUGCCCAUUUUUUUGAGGAGAAAUUUGAGGCUGAAAAAAAUUAAAUACCUUGUCCAAGGAUUACACAGAUAGUAACAGAAGUAGGAUUUGAACCCAGGUCUGUCUGGCAGUUGAGCUUAAUCAUUUUACUAUUUGGCCUACUAUAGGCUCGUACUUAAGAAAGCACUUAGUAAAUUUCAAUUAUUCAAAUAUUUUAAAUAUUUUCCUUUAGCCUGCUUUUCUCCAGGUGACACAUUCUCCAUUUUUUAGACUAUUAUUUGAUAGGAUAUCAUUUCCCUAUUCCACUCACUGUUUCAUUCACUAUUCUCAUGGAGUAGCAUGUUUUCAACAUUCCCAUAAAGUACUGUCUCUAGAGUGGAAAGUCAUGUCCACAAUGAGUAUGAACCUGUAUUCCAUAAUGCUUCUCCAGCCUAUCACAUGCAUUUUCUGCCCGUUUCUGAAGUUUUAUCAUCCUACCCAAUAGGCUUCAGGAACUUGUGUAUGAGAUGAACGAGUCAGUGUAGAAUCUGAGUUCAACAUCUUUAGAAAUGUUCAUAAGGAGGACAUCGAAAUGGGGAUAUGGCUACACAGCCCCUCCCCACUUCACUUGCAAGGAAAAGUGACCAUAACCUAAUUGUAGUUAAGGGUCUCUGUGGCCUGAGAGAGAAAAUAGUUAGUGUUUAGUGGCCCAUAGGAAGAUAGUCUCUUUUAUCUGCAUAGUGGAACUGUAAAAUCAAAUCUCCAGUACUGAAGAGCAUGAAUGGAACCAGUAGGGUCACAGCAAUCCCAUCUAUUUAUCUAGGACUUCUUUCUCAUCAGAUGGGCCUCUGAACUAAAUGUGAUAAGAUUAACAAAAGAAGCAGGACAUUGUUACUUUUUCAUAUGUUAGAGUUUUUCUGGUUCUAAAUGAAGAAGGUGUUGCUAAUUUUAUUUCCUUUUACUGCUUUAUUGUUAUAUUUUUAGCCAAAACUAAAUGAGUAGAUGUUUUUUAUUUCAUAUAAGAAUGAUUUUCUCUUCUGUAACAGUUGAAAAAAAAUGAUGUGCAGUAACAGCCACCUAAUAUAUUUUUCUAUUAAAAUGUCCCUGAAAAUAGUUAUAGGUGACAUAUGAAGAGAGGGACUAGAAAUGAUGAGUUUUUUGAUGUAACUGGUUAAAUUCAAAAGCAAAGGUAGCUCCAUUGUGAGCAUAAGGUCUUAGCCUAAAAGGUGGCUUUCCAGAGAGGCCUUUCCGGAGCUCCAUUUCUAAAGCACCACACUAAUUAUUCCCAAUAGACUAUUUAAAAUAGCUUCAUUUCCUUCAUUUAUGUUUCUAUCGGAUAUUUCCAUGUUUAUAUUUGUUUACUGUCUAUCUCCCCUCCGCUGGAAUGCGAAUUCCAGACCUUGUUUUGUUAUCCGCAGUGCAUAGAAUACAGCACAUAAUGGUGCAGAAUACUUGUUGAAUGAAUGAACCUGUUUUUGGAAACAAAAUUGUUACUGCCUUACUUUAAGCUAGUUCACAGUUUAUGGUUUUUACAAAUUUGUUCCAUGGUUUGUUCUUUACUGUUGUUCAAUGUCUGAACAGUACAUCUUUCCCCUUCUCACUGUAGAUUUAUUUAUUUGUGGAUGUAAUUCAAGUUCUUUCUGAUUAUGCUAUAUUAGAGUGGAGAACAUUUAUCAGAUGGCAGUGUUUUGUGUAAGGUGUAUUAUAACUAGUGUUUUGUCAAUAAAAUAAUAAAGCCUGUGGAUU
ensembl:lncRNA novel transcript, antisense to LGR5